rnacentral:rRNA from 1 species
AGAGUUUGAUCCUGGCUCAGGACGAACGCUGGCGGCGUGCCUAACACAUGCAAGUCGAACGGAGAAUUUUAUUUCGGUAGAAUUCUUAGUGGCGAACGGGUGAGUAACGCGUAGGCAACCUGCCCUUUAGACGGGGACAACAUUCCGAAAGGAGUGCUAAUACCGGAUGUGAUCAUCUUGCCGCAUGGCAGGAUGAAGAAAGAUGGCCUCUACAAGUAAGCUAUCGCUAAAGGAUGGGCCUGCGUCUGAUUAGCUAGUUGGUAGUGUAACGGACUACCAAGGCGAUGAUCAGUAGCCGGUCUGAGAGGAUGAACGGCCACAUUGGGACUGAGACACGGCCCAAACUCCUACGGGAGGCAGCAGUGGGGAAUCUUCCGCAAUGGACGAAAGUCUGACGGAGCAACGCCGCGUGAGUGAUGAAGGAUUUCGGUCUGUAAAGCUCUGUUGUUUAUGACGAACGUGCAGUGUGUGAACAAUGCAUUGCAAUGACGGUAGUAAACGAGGAAGCCACGGCUAACUACGUGCCAGCAGCCGCGGUAAUACGUAGGUGGCGAGCGUUGUCCGGAAUUAUUGGGCGUAAAGAGCAUGUAGGCGGCUUAAUAAGUCGAGCGUGAAAAUGCGGGGCUCAACCCCGUAUGGCGCUGGAAACUGUUAGGCUUGAGUGCAGGAGAGGAAAGGGGAAUUCCCAGUGUAGCGGUGAAAUGCGUAGAUAUUGGGAGGAACACCAGUGGCGAAGGCGCCUUUCUGGACUGUGUCUGACGCUGAGAUGCGAAAGCCAGGGUAGCGAACGGGAUUAGAUACCCCGGUAGUCCUGGCCGUAAACGAUGGGUACUAGGUGUAGGAGGUAUCGACCCCUUCUGUGCCGGAGUUAACGCAAUAAGUACCCCGCCUGGGGAGUACGGCCGCAAGGUUGAAACUCAAAGGAAUUGACGGGGGCCCGCACAAGCGGUGGAGUAUGUGGUUUAAUUCGACGCAACGCGAAGAACCUUACCA